AAAAGAUCCCAUUAAUCUGGAAGGAAGCAGUACCCAGGAAUGUGUAACUGACCUCUAUUCAAUUCUCAUUUUAGUCAGUGACUUGGACAGAGAAACAAAUGCCAUGACUUACUUUUUUGAAUGAUACAAAAACUGAGAAGACUCUACAGAUUGGAUGAUAGUCAGAAGCCAAAAAGAUCUUUAAAGCACAACUUCAGAUACGACAAAUGAAAGGUAGGAAUAUGUAUACUUUCAUAAACACUUGACUCCAACAGGACCUGAAUUAUUGCUUGGAGUUCACGAAAGAAAGAAGCACUUGGCAGAAAAAUGUUUGUUCUAAUAUGAAGGAAAGGUGGGGGAUCCAUUUCAGAACUGACGCCCAGAAUGUAAAUUAAUAUACAAUCAAUGUUUAUAUAGAGCUCUCUCUCUCUCUCUCUCUCUCUCUCUCUCUCUCUCUCUCUUCUCCCCCAAGCAAGGGGCCAUCUAAAUUAUCAGUAGUCAUGAACAUCUCUGAAUCUAUGCAAAUAAUUUUUCCAUUUUGAAGUCCAGUAUUAGAUAUUGGAGGACAUUCUUAAAUCCUGGACAAUUUCUGAAAACAUCAUCAAGUUCCUUGUUUAAAUAGCAAAUUUGUACCCCAAAUUGACCCUUUGAGAUUUGAGGAGGCAGCUAAAAGAUCCUAUAUUCAACUACCCUUUGCCUGUGUGAAAAUUCACCAUUAGAUUCAUUUCUUUGGGACAAAAUGUACAGAUUUCAGUAAUUUUCUUUUAAAAUGCAAAUACUCCUGAGAAAAGAAGUAAUUAUUAUCAGCCUUUAUAUGAAUUAGUCUUCAAACUAGUUAAUGGUCUAAUUCUUCUCAUUUUAUAGGACUGAGGAAAGGGAUGGAGAAAAGUAGGUAUUUUAAAAGAAGUAGGAAAGAUAGAGUUAUGUCCAUUGAAAGCAUUGGGCCUUUAGUGGGAAGUCAGUGAAGGGAAGAAUAUAGAAAGGAGAAACUUCAAAAGGGCUUCCCAACUUUGCCUAGUCUGUUACUCCUUAUUAAGGAAAGUCCUGCUCUGAUGGAAAUUCUUUUGAAAGAUAUUAACUGUCAGAAGGGCAUAAAACAGGGAGGCAGGAUCACCCUUAUGGUGUAGUGAAGCACUAAAACUACAGCUGCCAUCUGGUCAAUUAAUUCUGCAUUCCCAAG
rnacentral:lncRNA from 1 species